CUUCAAUGAAGAGGUGAUGACGAGUCUGACUUGGGAGUAUUACCUUUGGCCAGACAGCCCCACUCUGUGCUGCGUUCUGUGGCAUAGCUUAAAGGGACCUGGUGGAAGAAACUUCCUAAAGAUGACUUAGAGGCAUUUGUCUGAGAAGG
ensembl:snoRNA SNORD15 Small nucleolar RNA SNORD15